GCCGAUGUGGCUCAGUUGGUAGAGCACUCGAUUCGUAAUCGAGCGGUCGCGGGUUCAAAUCCCGCCAUCGGCU
rnacentral:tRNA from 6 species